AUUGAACGCUGGCGGCAUGCCUUACACAUGCAAGUCGAACGGCAGCGGGCCUUCGGGUGCCGGCGAGUGGCGAACGGGUGAGUAAUGCAUCGGAACGUGCCAUUGAGUGGGGGAUAACGUAGCGAAAGUUACGCUAAUACCGCAUAUUCUGUGAGCAGGAAAGCAGGGGACCGCAAGGCCUUGCGCUCUUUGAGCGGCCGAUGUCAGAUUAGCUAGUUGGUGAGGUAAAGGCUUACCAAGGCGACGAUCUGUAGCGGGUCUGAGAGGAUGAUCCGCCACACUGGAACUGAGACACGGUCCAGACUCCUACGGGAGGCAGCAGUGGGAAUUUUGGACAAUGGGCGCAAGCCUGAUCCAGCCAUGCCGCGUGAGUGAAGAAGGCCU
rnacentral:rRNA from 1 species